rnacentral:rRNA from 1 species
GGUACUCCCGUCUCGGUGAACCAGCGGAGGGAUCAUUA